AAGACCUGUACCUAUAAUUGCAAACGGGCCCUUCGGGGUGACUGUGCACAUUAUAGGGACUGCCUUCGUAAGGAGGAGGAAGGUGCAGGCAACGGUAGGUCUGUAUGCUCCGAAUCUUCUAGGCUACACGCGCGCAACAGUGGUAAAGACAAUGGGAUGCAACUCCGUAAGGAGAAGCUAAUCCUCGAACUUUAUCGUAGUUUAGAUUGUGGGUUGCAACUCACCCACAUGACAACGGAAUUCCUAGUAAUCAGAGUUCAUCAUACUCUGGUGAAUAU
rnacentral:rRNA from 1 species